CCAGACUCCUACGGGAGGCAGCAGUGAGGAAUAUUGGUCAAUGGGCGGGAGCCUGAACCAGCCAAGUCGCGUGAGGGAAGACGGUCCUAUGGAUUGUAAACCUCUUUAGGCGGGGAGCAAUGCCGGGCACGCGUGCCCGGAGGGAGAGUACCCGCAGAAUAAGCAUCGGCUAACUCCGUGCCAGCAGCCGCGGUAAUACGUAGGGGGCAAGCGUUAUCCGGAUUUACUGGGUGUAAAGGGAGCGUAGACGGCAUGGCAAGCCAGAUGUGAAAUACCGGGGCUCAAUCCCGGGACUGCAUUUGGAACUGUUAAGCUGGAGUGUCGGAGAGGCAGGCGGAAUUCCUAGUGUAGCGGUGAAAUGCGUAGAUAUUAGGAGGAACACCAGUGGCGAAGGCGGCCUGCUGGACGAUAACUGACGUUGAGGCUCGAAAGCGUGGGGAGCAAACAGGAUUAGAUACCCCGGUAG
rnacentral:rRNA from 1 species